UGCUGCGGCGCCGCCGCCGGCGGCUGCUGUUGAGAAGUCUUAAUAAUUGUUUUAGUGAUUGGGGCCAGCAGAAACCUUCUUCCUGACAUUCUUCUAAGUGACAUUCCUGCUUCCAGCUUCCUGCCAAGACUUCCUUUAAUGGUGGACUGUAACCUGAAGCUCAAAUCCCAAAUGACGUUCCUGCUCUGUUGCCUGUGCCCUGGACUGCUCACUGCCUGAGCCUAUCUACCCUUGGGGGGUUGGAGGUGAGGUAUCACAAAGUCAUCAACACAGACUCCUGAAGAAGAGAAGGCUCCAGGAAGGAUCUGUCUAGCUGGGAAAUACACCUUCCUGUUGUUUUGGUACAGAGAAAGACCAGCUGACUGGUUUUCAGAAUGAGAAGAGUCUAGUUGGCAGCCCAAAGAGGUGACUGAGAACUGGCUGUGUAAGGACAGCAGAGCUUCCUGGGGACAGGCUUCAUUUUUCCUGCUUAAAAAAAAAAAAAGAUAUGGGAGAAUUCCAAUGUUCUGGCAAAAUUAAGGAAACCUGCAAUUGGUUGCUUGGAUAAAAAAACAGCAAACCUGUCUGUAGUAAAUUACAUAUGGGGACAAAGCCCCACUGACUCCCGAGGCUGCCUCCCUCCCUGUACUCCACCCUGCCGCCAUCCUUAAGGUAAUGUCCUUCAGAUUGCACAAGCUGCAUUUCAGAGACCUGCAGUCCAAGCUUGACACCUAAGAACUGUGUCCCCUUUAGGUAAGUCUCAUGGCUUUUUUGUCUGAGUUUCAUGAUAUUAUUUGUAACACGGUAUUAAAUCUGUUUCUUCAUAUUGAUAUGAGAAAUAAACACACUUUCAUCAGC
rnacentral:lncRNA from 1 species